ensembl:misc_RNA 7SK 7SK RNA
GGCCAUGAGGGUGAUCUGCUGUGACAUCUAUCACUCAGUUGGUCACCAGGGUUGACUCCACUGACACAGCUGGCUGGGUAGGUGUCCCCUUCCCUCUCACCACUCCAUACAUGGCUUUCCUGAAGCUGCACCCUCUGUCAGAAAAGAUGACCUUCCCCAGAUAGAGAUGGACCAGUCUUCAGUUGGGGUAUAGACUAGCUGCACCCCCCUGCUAGAAUCUCCAAAUAAGCUCUCAAAUAAAGGAAUAAGAAGCUCUUCCUAGAGGGGCUGAACAGUGCUGUAUCUGAUAGAACACAUAUUAACAUGCUCAAGGACCAGGGUUCAAGCCCUUGGUCCCCAA